UUAUUAUUCCUUGCAUUUCGCUUCACAUUCCUUAAUGCUUUUGAAGAAAGUUCCUUCGGCCGAACAUCCACCAAUGUGCACAGUUUUGCAUUUGUUUUCACUGGCUAAAUAACAAUAAGGUAAUAGGAGUUAAUUGAUUUAUUAUGGAUAAAUAUGGAAUACUCACGGUUCUUCAAAGCUGAAACACAACCAACAGGAGUAACACUUGCACCUUUCAACCGACUUGAAAUGACUAAAAGUUAGCAAUGGA